CCUACGGGUGGCAGCAGUGAGGAAUAUUGGUCAAUGGACGAGAGUCUGAACCAGCCAAGUCGCGUGAAGGAUGACUGCCCUAUGGGUUGUAAACUUCUUUUAUAUGGGAAUAAAAUGUUCCACGUGUGGGAUUUUGUAUGUACCAUAUGAAUAAGGAUCGGCUAACUCCGUGCCAGCAGCCGCGGUAAUACGGAGGGUACGAGCGUUAUCCGGAUUUAUUGGGUUUAAAGGGAGCGUAGGUGGAUUGUUAAGUCAGUUGUGAAAGUUUGCGGCUCAACCGUAAAAGUGCAGUUGAAACUGGCAGUCUUGAGUACAGUAGAGGUGGGCGGAAUGCGUGGUGUAGCGGUGAAAUGCUUAGAUAUCACGAAGAACUCCGAUUGCGAAGGCAGUUCACUGGACUGCAACUGACACUGAGGCUCGAAAGUGUGGGUAUCAAACAGGAUUAGAUACCCCUGUAGUC
rnacentral:rRNA from 1 species